GUGCUCACUUUGACAGCACAUAUACUAAAAUUGGAACGAUACAGAGAAGAUUAGCAUGACCCCUGUGCAAGGAUGAUACGCAAAUUCAUGAAACAUUCCGUAUGUAA